rnacentral:rRNA from 1 species
CGACCGGCGCACGGGUGAGCAACACGUAUGCAACCUGGCCGCCACAGGGGGAUAACCCGCGGAAACGCGGCCUAAUACCCCGUGACGCCACCGGAGGGCAUCCUCCGGUGGCCAAAGGAGCGAUCCGGUGGCGGAUGGGCAUGCGGCGCAUUAGCUAGACGGCGGGGUGACGGCCCACCGUGGCGACGAUGCGUAGGGGUUCUGAGAGGAAGGCCCCCCACACUGGGACUGAGACACGGCCCAGACUCCUACGGAAGGCAGCAG